UCCCUGGAGGACUGGUGGUUAGUGCUCUCACCGCCACGGCCUGGGUUCGAUUCCCAGCCAGGGAG